CUUUGUCGAAAUUUUACAUAAAACGUAUUUUUUUAUAUUCUAACACGCAGUUUAGGGUCAUACAUGCAAAUACAUACACAUCUCUUUACCUACCUUCUUAAUACAUUUUUUUCUAUUUCUAACGAUACUAUGAUUCAAUCCCUUUAUCUUCCCAUUGAAGAUGUCGUGCAAUCAGAUGUUCCAUAAUUAACGAUUUGUUCAACGUUUUCAAAAGAACGAUCGGAUUAUUUAAAAAGUUUUCAAUUUCUUCAAUCAUUAAGAGCACUUAUUGUUUCCUCAAAUUAAUAACUCUAAAUUUUUUAUGGAAUUUUAGAAAGCAUGUCGUAUCGAAAAGUUGAAAACGCGAUUUAUCAAAGCCUUUACUUGGUACAUUUGACUUCUUCUAAAUUAGAUCUAUCAGAUUAAGGUACAUCACUAGGAUUUGGUAAAAAAUUAACUUAAACGAGUUUAUACAUAACACGGCCGUUAAAAGAGAAAUUGAAAACAGUGAAAAGAUCUUUAAGCAAGUUUGAGUGAAUCCAUAACAAAAAACAUUACAGUUUACCCUCUAAUCGAGCUAUAAAAUUAUCAUACUUGUCGUACAAUCAUGGUUUAAGCAACGACAUAUUUUCCUUUGCAUUGUCAUAAAUGAUCUUCUUAUUCUUCUUAUUCUUCUCCAUAUAUAGUCAGUCCUAGGUUGGCACGGUCCAUUCGGGGCUUGAGCCCAUGACGGGCAUGUUGUUAAGUCUUACGGUUAUAGAUAAUGGUUUAACAAAAUUAUCUUUUUCUGAAGAUAUGCGGACCAUUCCAGGCUUGAACCCAUGACUGGCAUUUCAUUGAGUCUUACGAGUUGAGGACGGUACCACGUAUUUAAUUUUUUUUAGACUCCCUUGACUACCACCGCUAAAGGAACACGAUACGGCAACUAUAGGAACCAUACCUCCAAUACAGCAAGCAAUGUCACCUUUGUAUUGAACUUUCAUUUCUCGCACGGAUAAACGGACAGCCGGAUAAAAGGUAACCAGCUAAACCGCGUUCUCCGGUAUCAGUUUCACAGAUCACCAUAGCCGGGUGUACCGUCUAUACCAGUGGUCUGCAAAAUGUACGAUAGUGUAAAUGCGAGCAUAAGGCUUAAUUAUUUUUAUCACAAUGUUGAAUGUUAUUCUAUUGAAUUUUCAAAACGCAUGCACUCAUCUUGCGAUUUUUGUCGAUGUAUUAAAAGAACCGUAGCGUUCGGUUCUUGUGGAUCAAUUAUUUACGUUUUAACGAGUACUGAAUGAAUCG